rnacentral:tRNA from 1 species
GUCCCAGUAGCUUAGUGUUAAAAGCAUUGGUUUUGUAAACCAAAGACCGGGCAUAACAUUGCCCCGGGGACA